UUGUGUGUGACAUGCUGGCGUCGGGAUUAUGUUUCCAGUUAGGUUGUCCCAAGUAUCUGCAGACUGGGUGGCCCAUGCGGGGUUUCUCAGAAAUAAGAAUAUGGCAAUUGGACCUGAAGGAAAAUGAUGUCUCUACAAUUAAUCAUCAUAGGGUUUGGAAGGCCCAAGAAGAAAACUAGGUUUUGGGGUACGUGAGCAGAGCGUGCAAGACCGUUGAGUAGGUACACACAUGGCAGUGUGC
rnacentral:lncRNA from 1 species